CCUACGGGGGGCAGCAGUGGGGAAUAUUGCACAAUGGGGGAAACCCUGAUGCAGCGACGCCGCGUGAGUGAAGAAGUAAUUCGUUACGUAAAGCUCUAUCAGCAGGGAAGAAACACUGACCUUACGGUCAGCAGACGGUACCUGAGUAAGAAGCCCCGGCUCACUACGUGCCAGCAGCCGCGGUAAUACGUAGGGGGCAAGCGGUAUCCGGGUUUACUGGGUGUAAAGGGAGCGUAGACGGUGCGCCAAGUCUGGAGGGAAAUGCCGCAGCUUAACUGCGGAACUGCUUGGGAAACUGGCGAACUAGAGUGAGGGAGGGGUAAGCGGAAUGCCUGGUGUAGCGGUGAAAGGCGUAGAUAUCAGGAGGAACACCGGUGGCGAAGGCGGCUUACUGGACCGUAACUGACGUUGAGGCUCGAAAGCGUGGGGAGCAAACAGGAUUAGAUACCCGGGUAGUC
rnacentral:rRNA from 1 species